rnacentral:lncRNA from 1 species
AAGACACUGUGUGAUCUAGUAUUAAUAAGGAACUGGGCUUUUCUCCUCUUCUCUGCUGGAUUCUGCUGUUUCCCACAAGGUGUUCAGAGAGUCUGCCCUGAAUCCUACAAGCAGGAGAUGAGAAACACACAGUGACACCAGCAGGAGAACAUGAAGAUGUGGUGACAGUUGUCCUCCUCCUGCAGAGUCCAGAGCAGUGCACUCCUACCACUGGUGCCCUAGCUAAGCCUGGGGGCCAGCAUGCCCGAUGAUAGUCUGGGAGUGCUGCAGAGUCCCCACAAUGGGCACCCAGCCUGUGCCCUUGCAUUCUGCAUGAUCGUGGCCAUUGUCACCUCAGAGCCCCUGUGUACAGAUCAGUGCAUCCUAGCAGAGCUGCAUGUGAGGAAAGACCACCCAAGAUGAAGGAUGAGAAGUGGUUGCUACGAAGGACCCUCCUGCAGUGAACCCACUGUGAGGAGGCUGCGCUGACCCAGCCUGUCAUUUCCUUCUCUAAGCUCAUUCCAGAGGUCGGCCAGGGGCAGAGGCAGCCCGUACCUGCCUGCUCUUGUGGCCCGUGAAUCAAGAAUGGAUUUUACAUUUCCAAAUGCCUGAACAAAUAAAAAAAUAACAAUUCAUGACACUGAGAAGGUUCCAUGUCCAUAAGUAAAGUUUGAUGUGGGUGCAGUCAUGCCCAU